rnacentral:rRNA from 1 species
UACGGAGGAUCCAAGCGUUAUCCGGAUUUAUUGGGUUUAAAGGGUGCGUAGGCGGCUUAUUAAGUCAGGGGUGAAAGAACGGUGGCUCAACCAUCGCAGUGCCCUUGAUACUGAUGAGCUUGAAUGAACUAGAGGGUAGGCGGAAUGUGACAAGUAGCGGUGAAAUGCAUAGAUAUGUCACAGAACACCGAUUGCGAAGGCAGCUUACUAUGGUUUUAUUGACGCUGAGGCACGAAAAGCGUGGGGGAUCAAAACAGG